rnacentral:rRNA from 1 species
UACGUAGGGUGCAAGCGUUAAUCGGAAUUACUGGGCGUAAAGCGUGCGCAGGCGGUUAUGUAAGACAGAUGUGAAAUGCCCGGGCUUAACCUGGGAACUGCAUUUGUGACUGCAUGGCUAGAGUUUGGCAGAGGGGGUAGAAUUCCACGUGUAGCAGUGAAAUGCGUAGAUAUGUGGAGGAACACCGAUGGCGAAGGCAGCCCCCUGGGUCAAACUGACGCUACAUGCACGAAGCGUGGGGAGCAA